rnacentral:rRNA from 1 species
GUCUACAACCAGUUUACCCUGAACAAGCCCAAUCCCAUCUGAUCUUGGAAGCAAGCAGGGUUGGGCCUGGUUAGUACUUGGAUGGGAGACCACCUAGGAAGACCAGGUGCUGUAGGCG